rnacentral:rRNA from 1 species
UACGUAGGGUGCGAGCGUUGUCCGGAUUUAUUGGGCGUAAAGAGCUCGUAGGCCGUUUGGCACGUCAGAUGUGAAAACUCCAGGCUCAACUUGGAGAGGCCAUCUGAUACUGCUGUGACUAGAGUCCGGUAGGGGAGCACGGAAUUCCUGGUGUAGCGGUGAAAUGCGCAGAUAUCAGGAGGAACACCAGCGGCGAAGGCGGUGCUCUGGGCCGGAACUGACGCUGAGGAGCGAAAGCGUGGGUAGCGAACAGG